rnacentral:snoRNA from 1 species
UGUAAACAAACACAGGCUCCAUUCCCUGGACAAUGUGGUGGAGGCAGGUGACCAAGUCUGGUUGAUGAAACAUGACUGCAUGACCAGAGCGUGAUUAACAGCCAGUUUGGUCAGUUGACCAUUCAAGUAGUAGAGGAUCGUUCUCAGCUGGAGUCCCUGGCUGGGGUGGUCGUUGUCUGACAGACU